rnacentral:rRNA from 1 species
UACGUAGGGAGCAAGCGUUGUCCGGAUUCACUGGGUGUAAAGGGUGCGCAGGCGGACUGGCAAGUCAGGGGUGAAAUCUUACGGCUUAACCGUGAAACUGCCUUUGAUACUGCUGGUCUUGAGUUAGGGAGAGGUUGAUGGAAUUCCAGGUGUAGCGGUGAAAUGCGUAGAUAUCUGGAAGAACACCAGUGGCGAAGGCGGGUCUCUGGACAGUUCCUGACGCUGAUGCACGAAAGCUAGGGGAGCAAACAGG